rnacentral:tRNA from 1 species
GGCUCGGUGGCCAAGUGGUAAGGCAUUGGUCUCGUAAACCGAAGAUCCCGGGUUCGAUCCCCGGCCGGGCCU